AGCGAACGCUGGCGGCAGGCUUAACACAUGCAAGUCGAACGGGCAUAGCAAUAUGUCAGUGGCAGACGGGUGAGUAACGCGUGGGAACAUACCUCUUGGUUCGGAACAACACAGGGAAACUUGUGCUAAUACCGGAUAAGCCCUUACGGGGAAAGAUUUAUCGCCGAGAGAUUGGCCCGCGUCUGAUUAGCUAGUUGGUGUGGUAAAAGCGCACCAAGGCGACGAUCAGUAGCUGGUCUGAGAGGAUGAUCAGCCACAUUGGGACUGAGACACGGCCCAAACUCCUACGGGAGGCAG
rnacentral:rRNA from 1 species